rnacentral:misc_RNA from 1 species
AAAUACCUGGAGCCGCCAUGAUAGACGUUUAAGGAUCUAGUACUCCAGUAAUUUACAUCGUGUGCCUGACCAUGUACCCUAGGACUUGGGCCCAGGAUGUGUUACGGUGUCGUCUCUGUGAGACCCCGGGCCCCCCUUUGUAUUGUGACAUUUGUCACAUACAUCUGUGUAAAGCAUGUGUGGGGGAACAUCUCUUGGAUGAUUCCAAAGAACACAAAGUGGUGCCAUUUAAAAAGAGGGGAUCUACUCCAAAUUACCCUAAGUGUCCUAAACAUUCCACAAAACAAUGUGAACUUCACUGUGAACAAUGUGACAUUCUUAUUUGCACACUCUGUAUUUCUGGAGAACAUUUAGGACAUAAACCAGUUGACAUUGUUAAACAUAUUGAAAGCAAAAAAGAACUUUUACAGAGAGAAAUGCAAGAAAUAGAAAAUUCCAUUUCUCCUAAAUAUCAACAGAUUGCCUCUAAUAUCCCAGUUCAGAAAGCUGCUCUAAAUAAAAACAGCCAGAAACUGACAUCAGUAAUAGACAAACAUGGAGAAGCCUUGCACAGAGAAAUAGACACCAUGAUCCACAAACUGAAAUCUGAUCUCAAUGAAAUGGACACCAAACACCUGGCCGUCCUCAACAAACAGGAAGGUGAAAUCACACGCACCAUUGAUGAAAUCACACAGACCAUUGCUGAACUGAAGAAGUUAGUGGACUCCAAUGAUGUCAGUCUUGUCUCUGCCUACAAAUCAAGGAAUGCUGAAUUCAGAAGAUUGCCUCCUAAACUCACCGUGUCCUUACCAAGUUUUACCCCUCAGAAGAUCAACAAAGAACAGCUUUAUCAACAGUUUGGUUCUCUGUCAGUGUCAUCCAUCAAAACAGAAGAACAAGUCUACACCAUGGAUUCCCCCGGUGCUGAGUCCUCUCCCCCGGACAGACCGCUCAUUGAUGUACCCCGGAUCAUCACACAGAUAAACACCGAGUAUGAAGACUCUAAUGGAUUAUACAGUGUGUCCUGUCUGAGGGAUGAAGAACUAUGGACGCGUGGUGGGGACAACAAGAUGAGACUUUACAACCUGCAGGGAAAACUAGUGAAGUCAGUCCAAACCAAGUCAGGGAACGAUCCAUGGGACAUAGCAGUGACAAGGAGUGGGGAUCUAGUUUAUACUGAUUACAAAGAUAGAACUGUGAACAUAGUGAAGAAUACACAGAUACAGACAGUGAUCAGACUACAGGGUUGGAGACCUCUCUGUGUCUGUAGUACCUCCUCUGGUGACCUCCUGGUUGUCGUGAACAGUGAUGAUGAUAAACAAACAAAAGUUGUGUGUUACUCUGGCUCCACAGAGAAACAUAUUCAGUACGACGACAAAGGACGACGUCUCUAUUCAUCUGGUAAAUACACUAAAUACAUCAGUGAGAACAGGAACCUAGAUAUCUGUGUGUCAGACAAUUACGCCCGUGCAGUAGUGGUGGUCAAUCAGGCCGGGAAACUCCGGUUUACCUACACUGGUCCUCCCUCUACUACCAAGGGAUCAUUUAUUCCAGUCGGCAUCACAACAGACAGCCAGGGUCGGAUCCUGACAGCAGACCUUACCUAUAACAACCACCGUAUCCACAUCCUGGAUCAGGACGGACAGUUCCUCCGCUACAUUGACAACUGUCAUUUACAGCGUCCGUGGGGUCUAUGUGUGGACACCAGAGACAACCUCUUUGUGGGUGAGUGGGACACAGGUAAAGUGAAGAAAAUCCAGUAUUACAUGUAAACAAACUGUGUGUAUUACCAACAAAUAUGUAAGCUGUGGGUAUGUUUCAUUGAUAUGAACUAUAUAUAAACACAGUAUAUGUAUUAUAUACAAACAAACCAUGUGUAUGUAUUAUAUGUAAACAAAGUGUGUGUAUAAAUAACAGAAAAUGUACAUGUAAACAACAUGGCUGUUUAUAUUACAGGUGAACAAUCUCUAUAAUCAUGAUACUUUAUACUUCAUUGUAUACUGAUGCAUGUAAGCAAAUGAAUAUACUACUGUAUAUAGUAAACAGACUGAUAAAGAUAUUACAUACAAAUUAAUCAUGAUUGUGAAUUAUGCUGAUUUUUUUUGUUUAAAAUAAUAACUCAAUGCAUAUUUAUAAUUCUUACUAUGCAAACUUUGUUUUAAUAAAUUAUUUAAUAACCUGUU